GCCCGGCUGGCGCAAUGGUUAGCGCAUAUGACUUCUACAGUGCAUUUUGCUGACGCAGAUGCGUGGGAGUAUAUCAUAAGGUUGCGAGUUCGAGUCUCGCGUCGGGUU
rnacentral:tRNA from 1 species